UACGUAGGCAGCAAGCGUUGUUCGGAAUUACUGGGCGUAAAGAGUGUGUAGGCGGUGCUCUAAGUUCGGUGUGAAAUCUCCCGGCUUAACUGGGAGGGUGCGCCGGAAACUGGAGUGCUCGAGCGUGGGAGAGGAAAGCGGAAUUCCUGGUGUAGCGGUGAAAUGCGUAGAUAUCGGGAGGAACACCAGUGGCGAAGGCGGUUGCCUGGAGCUUUGCUGACGCUGAUGCGCGAAAGCGUGGGGAGCGAUCCGG
rnacentral:rRNA from 1 species